rnacentral:rRNA from 1 species
AUUGAACGCUGGCGGCAGGCCUAACACAUGCAAGUCGAACGGUAACAGGAAACAGCUUGCUGUUUCGCUGACGAGUGGCGGACGGGUGAGUAAUGUCUGGGAAACUGCCUGAUGGAGGGGGAUAACUACUGGAAACGGUAGCUAAUACCGCAUAACGUCGCAAGACCAAAGAGGGGGACCUUCGGGCCUCUUGCCAUCGGAUGCGCCCAGAUGGGAUUAGCUAGUAGGUGGGGUAACGGCUCACCUAGGCGACGAUCCCUAGCUGGUCUGAGAGGAUGACCAGCCACACUGGAACUGAGACACGGUCCAGACUCCUACGGGAGGCAGCAGUGGGGAAUAUUGCGCAAUGGGCGCAAGCCUGAUGCAGCCAUGCCGCGUGUAUGAAGAAGGCCUUCGGGUUGUAAAGUACUUUCAGCGGGGAUGAAGGGAGUAAAGUUAAUACCUUUGCUCAUUGACGUUACCCGCAGAAGAAGCACCGGCUAACUACGUG